UACGGAGGGGGGCUAGCGUUGUUCGGAAUUACUGGGCGUAAAGCGCACGUAGGCGGCUUUUGUAAGUUAGAGGUGAAAGCCCGGGGCUCAACUCCGGAAUUGCCUUUAAGACUGCAUCGCUAGAAUUGUGGAGAGGUAAGUGGAAUUCCGAGUGUAGAGGUGAAAUUCGUAGAUAUUCGGAAGAACACCCGUGGCGAAGGCGGCUCUCUGGGACGGUACUGACGCUGAGACGCGAAAGCGUGGGG
rnacentral:rRNA from 1 species